AUUGAACGCUGGCGGCAGGCCUAACACAUGCAAGUAGAGCGGAGCGGCGGACGGGUGAGUCAUGCCUAGGAAUCUGACUGGUAGUGGGGGAUAACGUCCGGAAACGGGCGCUAAUACCGCAUCCUAUCAGAUGAGCCUAGGUCGGAUUUGCUAGUUGGGGGGGUAAAGGGCUACCAAGGCGACGAUCCGUAACUGGUCUGAGAGGAUGCUCAGGCAACCGGGAAAUGAGACAGGGUCCAGACCCCUCCGGGAGGCAGCAGAGGGGAAUAGUGGCAAAGGGGCGAAAGCCUGAUCCAGCCAUGCCGCGUGUGUGAAGAAGGUUUUCGGAGUGUAAAGCACUUUAAGUUGGGAGACGUUACCAACAGAAUAAGCACCGGCUAACUUCGUGCCAGCAGCCGCGGUAAUAC
rnacentral:rRNA from 1 species